rnacentral:rRNA from 1 species
UACGGAGGGUGCAAGCGUUAUCCGGAUUCACUGGGUUUAAAGGGUGCGUAGGUGGGCAGGUAAGUCAGUGGUGAAAUCCCCGAGCUUAACUUGGGAACUGCCGUUGAUACUAUCUGUCUUGAAUACUGUGGAGGUAAGCGGAAUAUGUCAUGUAGCGGUGAAAUGCUUAGAGAUGACAUAGAACACCAAUUGCGAAGGCAGCUUGCUACACAAUAAUUGACACUGAGGCACGAAAGCGUGGGGAGCAAACAGG